ACCUGCCCCAAACCCACCUAUGGGGAGGGUCAGACCCCAAACCCACCCCAAACCCACAUAUGGGGGGGGUCAGACCCCAAACCCGCCCCAAACCCACAUAUGGGGGGGGUCAGACCCCAAACCCACUCCAAACUUACACCUGGGGGGCGUCAGACCCCAAACCAAACCCAGACCCACUCCAAAUCCACACCUUGGGGGGGUCAGACCCCAGACCCCACAGCAUACCCCAAACCCAAACCUUUUUUUGGGGGGGUAGGGGGGAGGAAAGGAAAGGGGGUGGGAGGGGAGGUGGUUGAUAGGACAUUCCCCUUUACAUUUACUCCUUUUUGUACACGUUUUGCUUUGGGGUUUUCCUUUUGGAGCUGUAAUGUGGGGUCGGGGGGGGGGGGACACGGGAGGGUUUUGUACACAUAAUGUCAUGCUGGGGGGGCCCCUCACCCCCCAUCCCACUAUGGGGCAGCAGCUGUGCCCCACAUACCCACCAUCACCCCCAUCCCAUAUAUCUCUUGCGUUCCUCUUUGUACCGGGCCGCGUUCCUUGCCCCAUAGUGGCACCUAUAUGAAUAAACACCUCAAUAUUCA